rnacentral:misc_RNA from 1 species
GCAAACUUGGUCAUUUAGAGGAAGUAAAAGUCGUAACAAGGUUUCCGUAGGUGAACCUGCGGAAGGAUCAUUAAUGAAUUAAGAAACAUUCUUAAAUUCCCUCUGCGUACAUGUAUCUGUUGCUUCCGCGAAUUAUGGAUUACUUUUCGAUGAUUGCGCUUUGCGUAAUAUUCGCGGAAGGUUAUUCAAUACUCUGUUUUUCUUACAUCACUGUCUGAGCAUGUUUACUCAAUAAAUAUAAAAACUUUCAACAACGGAUCUCUUGGUUCUCGCAUCGAUGAAGAACGCAGC